rnacentral:rRNA from 1 species
GACGAACGCUGGCGGCGUGCUUAACACAUGCAAGUCGAACGGAAAGGCCCUGCUUUUGUGGGGUGCUCGAGUGGCGAACGGGUGAGUAACACGUGAGUAACCUGCCCUUGACUUUGGGAUAACUUCAGGAAACUGGGGCUAAUACCGGAUAGGAGCUCCUGCUGCAUGGUGGGGGUUGGAAAGUUUCGGCGGUUGGGGAUGGACUCGCGGCUUAUCAGCUUGUUGGUGGGGUAGUGGCUUACCAAGGCUUUGACGGGUAGCCGGCCUGAGAGGGUGACCGGCAACAUUGGGACUGAGAUACGGCCCAGACUCCUACGGGAGGAAGCAGUGGGGAAUAUUGCACAAGGGGCGGAGGCCUGAUGCAGCAACGCCGCGUGCGGGAUGACGGCCUUCGGGUUGUAAACCGCUUUCGCCUGUGACGAAGCGUGAGUGACGGUAAUGGGUAAAGAAGCACCGGCUAACUACGUG